AUUUUUGUUUGCUGUAGAUUCAUUUAUGUUCGUGGAAAUCUAUUUUUGUGGAUUGAGGAAAACUUGAUUUCUUGGUUUGGACAAUCUCUGUAUGCAACAUGUGCAAAGCUUAUAACACAUUUGUAAUUCGUUAAACACUUACAUUCAUGGUUCACCUAUACCCUAGAAAUCCACGACAACUGAGAAAAAAUGAAUCCACAGUAUUGAGUAAUACACAAUCACGAGUUUUGUCUUCUAUAAAAAGAGAUCUCAUUCGAUACCUCCAUAGAAC
rnacentral:lncRNA from 1 species